rnacentral:rRNA from 1 species
UACGGAGGGUGCGAGCGUUGUCCGGAAUCACUGGGCGUAAAGGGCGCGUAGGUGGCGGAGCAAGUCAACGGUGAAAGCUCGACGCUCAACGUCGAGUCGGCCGUCGAUACUGCUUUGCUCGAGCACUGUAGAGGCAGAUGGAAUUCCGGGUGUAGCGGUGGAAUGCGUAGAGAUCGGGAAGAACAUCGGUGGCGAAAGCGCUCUGCUGGACUGCAACUGACACUCAGGGACGAAAGCUAGGGGAGCGAAUGGG